rnacentral:tRNA from 1 species
ACAGAGGUUAGCUCAGUUGGUUAGAACAUGGUGCUAAAAACACCAAGUUCACAGGUUCAAUCCCUGCUCACUGCA